GGGGUUGUGGCUCAGUGGUAGAGCGCUCACCUUGCAAGUGCAAGGCCCUAAGUUUGAUCCUCAGCAUCACAU
rnacentral:tRNA from 1 species